AUUGAACGCUGGCGGCAGGCCUAACACAUGCAAGUCGAGCGGAGCGGCGGACGGGUGAGUAAUGCCUAGGAAUCUGCCUGGUAGUGGGGGAUAACGUCCGGAAACGGGCGCUAAUACCGCAUACUAUCAGAUGAGCCUAGGUCGGAUUAGCUAGUGUGUGGGGUAAAGGCCUACCAAGGCGACGAUCCGUAAAUGGGCUGAGAGGAUGAGCAGUCACAGUGGAACUGAAACGCGGUCCAGACUCCUGCGGUGGGCAGCAGUGGGGAAUAUUGGACAAUGGGCGAAAGCCUGAUCCAGCGAUGCCGCUUGUGUGAAGAAGGUCUUCGGAUUAUAAAGCACUUUAAGUUGGGAGGCGUUACCAACAGAAUGAGCACCGGCUAACUUCGUGCCAGCCGCCGCGGUAAUUC
rnacentral:rRNA from 1 species